GACGAACGCUGGCGGCGUGCUUAACACAUGCAAGUCGAACGAUGAAGAAAAGAAUCGAAGCUUCGGCAGAAAAUCAUUUCGGAUCAGUGGCAGACGGGUGAGUAACGCGUGAGCAACCUACCUCUUACAAAGGGAUAGCCUCGGGAAACCGGGAUUAAUACCAUAUAACAUUGUGACGAAGCAUUUCGAUGCAAUCAAAGCUACGGCGGUAAGAGAUGGGCUCGCGUCCCAUUAACCGGAUGGUGAGGUAACGGCUCACCAUAGUGACGAUGAGUAACCGGCCUGAGAGGGUGAACGGUCACACUGGAACUGAGACACGGUCCAGACUCCUACAGGAGGCAGCAGGGGGGAAUAUUGCACAAUGGAGGGAACUCGGAUGCAGCGACGCCGCGUGAGUGAGGAAGGAAUUCGGUUCGUAAAACUCUGUUCUAUGGGAAGAAAAGGACGGUACCAUAGGAGAAAGCGCCGGCUAAAUACGUG
rnacentral:rRNA from 1 species